GCGGGCGACGCGGCGGGAUGGACCGGGAGCUGCUGCGGCAGGCGCUGAGCUACCACGGCCCCACGCUGCUCUCGCUGCUCCGCGCCGAGCAGCACGACAACCCCGACUUCCGCGGGCUGCUGCCGCCGCCGGGCGCCGCCGCCGAGCCGCCCCGCGGGGCCCCGCCCCCGCCGCCCGCCUGGAAAGAGCGGACAAACACCGACACCGAGAUACAGCGGCUCAUCGCCAGGAAGGCGGAUCUCCUUUUUGCUCAGUCGUGGAAACCCAACGGCCCUCUUUGCGACACGCUCGAAGAAAAUGAAGAGUAUUAUGCUGUUAUGCCUCCCCUGGAGCAGUUCAUGGAAGUUCCCAGGGAAGACAGGAGAGAACUGUUCUUUCAAGACAUUGAACGUGGCGACAUUGUGAUUGGGAGGAUUACUUCUAUUCGUGAAUUUGGCUUUUUCAUGGUGUUGAUUUGUCUGGGAAGUGGUGUCAUACGGGAGAUCUCGGAUUUAGAAAUCACUGCUCUUUGUCCAUUGAGAGAUGUGCCUUCUCAUAGCAACCAUGGAGAUCCUUUAUCUUAUUAUCAGACUGGAGACAUUAUUCGAGCUGCAGUCAAGGAUGUUGAUCGUUAUCACGAAAAACUCACAGUAUCGCUUUACAGCUCAGCUCUUCCACCCAAUCUUUGUAGUACAAAACUUGGAGUAAUUACCUCUGAUGAAUUUCCAUUACAUUACAGGCGAAGCAUGGAAGUUGCCAAUACGUUAGAUACGUACGAAGAAGUUUUGCAUCGUUCUCCAGGAUUUGCUAAUCCAUCAGUCGUUGAAUAUUUAGCAGAAAAGCUAGGGCUAAGUGAAUCAAACCCACCGUCUUUGAUGAGAGGUCUUCAAAUCAAAAAUUUCAGUGAUGAAGACUUUGCUCCUGCAUUGAGGAAAAGGCAGUCUGCAUCUUGGGCCUUGAAAUGUGUGAAGACUGGAGUUGAUUAUUUUAAGGUUGGGCGCCACGUGGAAGCUAUGAAUGAGUACAACAAGGCCUUGGAAAUAGACCCACAGAAUGUUGAAGCUUUGGUAGCCCGGGGAGCUCUGUAUGCAACAAAAGGAAGUCUAAACAAAGCCAUAGAUGAUUUUGAGAUUGCAUUAGAAAACUGUCCCACCCACAGAAAUGCAAGAAAAUACCUCUGUCAGACACUUGUGGAAAGAGGCGGGCAGUUGGAAGAGGAGGACAAACUACUAAAUGCUGAAAGUUACUAUAAAAAAGCUUUAAGUUUGGAUGAGACUUUUCAGGAAGCAGAAGAGGCCUUAACGAAACUCCGUAAGCACAUGCAGGUGAUUCUUUACUUUCUCUUCAUUUGAUUCUCUCAGUUACAAUAAAUGACCAUCAAAAAUCAUACUAAAUCUUUUAAAUGGAGAGUAAUAAGUCGCUGAUUAGUCUUAUUCUCUGCUUCCCCCCUCCACAGUAAAUCUUCUAUAGUAAGCAUUAUGGCUAUACCUACCAGAAGUAACGUACCUAUUGAUGACUUUAUUGUUCUGAACAGGAUAGUAAAGAAAUGCCCAGCAGUGAAAAAACAAAAGCAAUUAAACCCUAUCAGCCAACCCUGGAAUGAGAAUACUCCACCACCUAAGCAUGCUUAAUAAUGUUGAAUGAAAAUAUUUGGUGAAUAUAAACAUGCAAAGUAUAAACUCUUGGGCAAGCCGAAUAAACAUUGCAAGCCCUAUCAGCUGCAAGAUGGUUGUAAUUUGGAAUAAUCAGGAAAAAGGUACAAUAACAUGAGCCAAAGCUAACUUACAGGAAGAUCACAUGAGAGGGAAAAUUAAUAGCUGAUCAGUAUUUAAGAUUUAAAGGAAAACAGUAAGUGGAAGAGGUGGAGACACUCAAAAGAGUGUCUUGUUUUCUUCUGUGGUACGAGAGUUUUCACUUGUAUGUGUACUUCUGAACUAACUGUACUUUCGUGACUAUGUCACUGUGUCUUCACUUCCACACAGCGUAUUUCCCAAGUGAGCCAUGGUGGGUCACUAUGCUAAACUUUGUCUGUUGUUUUUUUUCUUUCAUUUAUCUCCCUUAUUUGUAUCGUCUUCUGAGGAUCGAGGAGUAAGUUCAAGGUCUGAAGCACAGGGUUGUUUUGCUUUAUGCUUCUGUGUUUAAGGAAAUAGACCUAGGUAGAUAUUAACAGGACUUAAUCAACACUUCUUUAGUUGGUGAAGCCAUAAUGCUCACGGGUUGUGUUGAAAGAAGGGGGAAGAGGAGAUGUAUGACAAUCCUUAAUGAAACAGAACUACACUCUGUAAAUACUGCACUGCAUGCUAUUGGAGCGCUAUCCCUAUUUGGCAAUAUAAAGAAAGAAGUAUGACUGUUUUAGAAAGAGGUCUCAAAGCCGUGGUUAAAAUGAUGAAUAUUCUCAGCAAGUAGGAGUUAAGAGUUUACUCUCCUUUAGAAUUAUUCUGGUAUAAUGGUCAUUCAUGCAGCAGCUACAAAACACCAUCGACUGAACUAUUGUUCAUUUGUUUGCAUAGCCUUAUCUGCAAUUAAGGAUUUCCUUUACUUUAUCUGUUAUGACACUUGCUAAGUAUUGAAAACCAUAAUCAGACUUUCUGCUCUGAAUAUGAAUAGAGCUGCUGUUUAGGGCUGUAGAUCACAGAAGUCUGUGAUCUUUAAAGGACUUAAAAGGACUUAAAUAAUGUAUCUUUAAGAAUUAUUUAUCUGUUAAUCAGAUGAUCUAUGGCACUUGCAUGUAUUUUAAUAUGCACAUGCAGUACUUUCAUACUGUUGUGCAAGAAUGGCUAAAACAUAAUUAAAAAUGUUUUCCUGUAAUACUGAUUAUGUGUUUUUCUCCAAUGCAUUUUCUUCUGAAUUGGACCGUUGUUGCUGUAUCUGACAUCUGGUGCUGCUCAUCACCAACAAACCCUUGGAACAUGAUUUCUUAUGUAAACUAUGCAUCAAACUGGUCUGUGAAAUUAUCUCAAAAUGGUUUGUAUUCAAACGUGGCCAAUUUGACUACACUACAAAAUGGGUUCUACCAUGGCUUAUUUGUAAACAACAAUAAUGAUGCUUUCCCUCAAACCCUUCUCUCUCUUCCUCUCUCUUUCUCUUGUUCUUUCUCUCCUUCCCCUUUCCCCCCUCAACCUGCUAACAUUGUUUUUCUUGCAUUUGCCAUCUGUAUCUUUUGGACUGCGUGCUUCAUGGUGUGCUGGAUCACGGGUACCACUGCAAUGGCUGGAAAAACUUAUCUUUUAAUGGGAUAAAAACUGCAAUAUGGUCCUUAAUGUAAACCUGAUUAUCACAACGGCCAAUGACAAACUCCUGAACAAUAUUAAUUCUUGAUCUGGGAAUCCUGAAAUCUUUGGAAAUGAGGGAGAAACAAGCUGCAAAAGAAGAGAGACAGAAAGAAAAGAAAAUAGAAACAAGUGCAGAA